UUCUUUUUCUCUUUCUUUUUCUUUUUCUUUUUUUUUUCCAUGCAUGAUUUGGAUCAAACUUGCCAAAGAUAUCAGAAACUCCAAGAAACUGAGCUAGCUGCAAAAGUUGAUGACCUGAAUGCAUUGCAACUCAAACCUCUUUCUACUAAGCCUUCUUCAGACAGUAUGAAUUCCAAGAAGGAUGCCUGAAACUUAUCAGUUGAGGAGCUGCCUACUGAUGCAAUGAGAAAAGUAGAACAAAACUACAUGCUUGAUUGAGACUGUACUCAAUCAAUCAAUCCUACAGCCUCACACCACGUCUACAAGACUGUCUGCAAGAUGAAAAAACAGCCAAACCAAAAACAAAGAUACAUUUAGUCUUUCCUCAGGCUUGCUUUUUGAGGUAUUUUUUGGGAUAAGACUCUAACUGACUUAUCCAGGAGGUGACUGAUGAGUGUCACUGUGUGGCAAUCAACAUAACUUUGUGGACAUUUGAAAGCAUUUCCUUUGGAACUCUUUGCCUUCAGAAGAGAGUUCUCAGGAGCUUUUACUAUCAGAAGAUCUGGUCUGUGAGCAAAUAACUCCAGCUUCGUGUGGAAGAUUGGGGAAUUAUACCAUCACAUACUGUGAAAAACAGGAUGCAGGUGAGCACCUCCCAGUUCCCUCUUCUUUGCUGACAAGGUGUGGAAGAUGGGAACAAAGGAGUUUCUGCUGAGAUCCUAAAGCCAGAAGCUGCCACUCCAAAGAGAGCUGACUCGAUCACUUUGGACUUAUUUAUAGAAGUUGGUACUGUUGCCACUGUUGUCAUCAUCAACCAAACAACAACCCUUGACAACCCACCAUUUCUGAAGAUCAGUGUCUGAACUAGGAACCAAACCUAGUGGUGACUCUCUCUCUCCUGCUUUCUGCAAAGACUCCUUGCUUUUAUUUCCUGUCUUUAUCACCCACCUUCCCUUCUUCAUCUCCUUAAACAACUAGGAUUUGUAGUAAUCUGGUUGGGCUAACAUUUCACCCAUCGUCCCCUAAUCUCGCCAUCAGGCAUAUGUAUAUUAAAAGAACCUUCUCUCCCUCCCGUAUUAGGGAGACAAGGGUACCAUAUUACAAAUAAAUACCAGUGGAAUGAUGAUAGAGGUAGAAAGAUAUAGAGAUGUUAAUUUAAACUUGUAUUUCACUAAAUAAUACCUCUGGAUUUA